GGGACAGUCAGUCCAAGCUGGAGAAAGAGAGGAAAGUGUGAACUCGGAGACGAAGGGUGAUGGGGCAGAGGCCAGGAGGGUGCUCCUCAGGAGAAACAAGAUGGUGAUGGAGCAAGGAGCCAGAGCCCACGAAGGCCAGCCAAGCAUGACAAGGGUUAAUUGGAUACCCCCAGCUGGAAUCAUAGAAUCAUGGGGCUGGAACGGACCUUGGAGAAGGUCUGUCUGUCCAGAGCCAUAAGCCUCCCUGGCAGAGGGCCAAGCAAGGAGCUCCUGGGGCUGGGGAAAGCUCUCUGGAUCCUCCAGGCCUGCUCCUCCUAGUCCCCUUUCUUCCACUUUGCUUGCAGGAGAAGGGGAACAGAGAGGUUUGGGCCAGCUGGGGGGGUCACAGGACCUCAGAGCUUAAGGAUUCUGUAAAAGGAUGGAAGAGAAACACCUCCCCUAGCCUAAUGUGUAAUAGUAGGUGAUUGGUUCACAAGCCUUAUUCUCUUUUUCUGCCUCUCAUUACCCAGAGAAAUAGGCCUAGCCACUCUCAGAAUCUAAGAGAGAAGGAUCACAAAUGGCAGCACAGGUCUGCGGGUGCUGCACAUGGGUCAAGUACUUUUCCAGCAUGUGCCAGGCUCUGAGUUUCAUCCCCACACUGAUGGGGAAAAAAAGAGGAUGAAUGAAUUUGGGUGAGAAAUGAAAAGCUUCCUGUUUAGGCCUGUGAACCUAGAAGGCUAUAGAAACUCUGACCUUUAGGUUUUAUUUUUAAUGUCAACAGUUCCUGUUGCCACCUGCCUGCAGCCCUAGAGGCAGGGUCUACUUGGAUAGAGUACCCUGCUUAGUGCAUCUUGUGGACUAAGGACAAUGGCGUUGCAUAGUAAGGGAGGUCCCAUGUCACUGCCACUGGAAGUAGACCUAUUGCAGUAUCUAUAUAUAGGUGGCCAUAGCCAUCAGGACCUUGAGCCAUGGCUCUGCCAGCUGCUGUAACACUCUUCCCUCACUCUGCCUGCCACCAUACAGAGCUGUGGUUCUGGUACUAAAUGUGCAGGGUAUGGGGUGAGAUUCAAAAAAAAACUAAGAUAGAGUCCACAGAGUGCUUGCGUGUCGGCAGAGGGAGGCCAAAGGGGAUCAACUGAAGGGCAGAGUGUGUUCCAGGAAGGACGCCCCAGCAGGCCAAUCAGUGCUUCCUUGUGGGACCUUCAACCAGAGCCACAGCUGCAAAGGUGUUGCAGAUUCACCUGUCAGUGCUGCUGGCACUGAGCUCCCUACCUAAACUUUGUUAUGCACUGGUUAAAAUAAUUUUCAACUCUGCAGCUUAAAAUCACUUCUCAUGGUUCAUUUCUCUUCUGACACUCUAAAGGUUCCAUAAGUUCAAGACCUUGCUGGGAAGUUCAUCCUUCUAUCUAACCCAUGUCUUAUGUAUCCUUUGGUUCUACCUACCCAUAAUAUCCAGAGAAGCUAGAGCAGAAUGGACCUUCACAUUGUACCUGGUGAUGUAGAAAUGGUGGGCAGUGAGAACUGAUUCUUCUCUCUCAGCCUCCGUGUCUUCAUUUGUACAAUGAGAAGACCUGGAUUCAACAUUUUCCAAGUGCUCACUCAUAGUUAAGUUCCUCUUGCUUACUGUGGAACAGAUAAGUACCAAUCUUCAUGGG